GAGCAAGUGAGAAAGAGACAGGACUCAGACAGACCAGAGUUCUGAAAGGAGACCGAAGUCCUCGUCCGCAUUCUACUUUCUGCUAAAGUAAGCUCGAUUUCCUAAAGCUAGACUAUAGGACAUGUAUUCUAAUCGUAUUCAGGCCGACAUUUCGUAGACUAUCGCAGUGUUCCGACAUCGUGGACGGCGUGUUGCAGCGAAGGCUCGCCACUGUUCAGGGAGUGGGCGAGGCGCCGAGGUCCGGACCGUACUGCUCGGUCGACCGGGCAGGAGCGACAGGAUCGGUGGUCAAGGUGGGGCGCCUAGACGUUUUAAUGGGGGAGAACCCUACUACACAAAACUCACCUCCACUGGAUCUAAAUUCAACCCGGGGCCAGCCCCACAGACACAAACGAGGAAUUCUUUGAAGCUGUUCCAAAGGGACCACGCCCAGUGGGACCACGCCCCAGUGGGGGGGGGGCCUGAGCUCUGAGUUCAGGCCCCUUGGUGCAACACACCCCAGUGGGGGGGGGCCUGAUUGGUUGGUUAAGAUAACCUGGAAGCAGAAGCCAUCAGAAUUAGUUAAUUUGUUUUACCUUAUGGAUCAUGUGCAGCUAGACAAUGGGGUAGGUAAAGUUAUUUUCAUGUUAGCUAAGUGUGGUCAGCGGGUAAGUGUUAGAGGUUAGGCGUCUGGCCUCUGAGAGACUAUGCAGAUGUACAGCUGCAAAGAAAAAGUACCGGCUCGGAGCAGAGAGUAGCAGGGGAAUAUCUACCCGGCUUCUCUCUGCUGAAACCAGGUCAUGACAAUUAGUCUUUUCUGAUUGGCUCAAAUUAGUGCACACACAGUAAUGUCGAACAAGUUCUCGAUAGAAGUUCUGCGUCUCACAGCGCCCCCAUCUGUCCUCAUCCCGCUAUGACAUGAGCCAUGCAUAUUGGAUUGUUUCAGUAACGUUGUUAUUCGUGUAGUAAUCGCUCAGUGUGUUUUCUAUUUCUAUUCUAAACCCACUAAAACACCAGUUCCUGUUCCCUGCAUACUGUCAUCCUCCGCCAACAUCCUGUGGUAGAGAACCUGUGUGUGUGUGUGUGUGUGUGUGUGUGUGUGUGUGUUUUGGAGCUCCCCCGGCUCUGUCCGUGGGUUGCUUUGCGGAGACGAGGAGGAAGAUACUGAGAGCUGGAGGAUGAAGAGGAGGGCUGUGAAGAUGUAAAAUCCUUAUUGGGUUGUAAUGAACAAAAACUCAAACUCAGCCCUAAAAGUCUUAGGAUAGGAUGUUUAGUAUGUACGCUUAUUAUAGGCUUGCAGGUUUAGAUUAGGUCAUGAAUGGUUAAUUAUGAGAGAAAAAUAACAGAAAGGAUAUAACCUUUGACCAGAUCUUUCUGGAAGGGGUUGCUUCACGUGUGCGUUACCAGCAAGAGAGGGCCGGGACAUCUGAGCCUACUUCAAGGGGAGCGAUAUCCGUUUCGGUAACAUGGGUUUAGUGGUAAGAGA
ensembl:lncRNA